rnacentral:tRNA from 1 species
UGGUGUAGCUCAGUUGGUAGAGCAGCUGAUUUGUAAUCAGCAGGUCGGGAGUUCAAGUCUGUCCACC